GUUUUGACUUUGAGCUGCUUCCUC
rnacentral:siRNA from 1 species